rnacentral:lncRNA from 1 species
CCAGAGCAAGAACAAAGGAAGAACAAAACCCUAGGUGGAAAAAUUCAAGGGAAAAGUGUGUAAAUUAAAGGAAACAAGUGAAAAAAAGGUAAGAUUUUUCAAUUAACCUUGAGAUCUCUCUUUCUUAAGCAUUUUUCUUAUUUUCCAUGGUUGAAUCACAUGAAAUCAUGAUGGGUCUCUUGUUGAUCAAACCCUAGGAGAGAGAAUUUGAUGAUGAUUUAGAUAGAUUUUUCAGAUAUAUGGAUGUUUUUAGUUGUUUAUGGUGUUAAGUGAAAGAAUUAAGUUUGAAACUCACAUAUUCCUCAUGAGUUCAUCAUUGGCCAAAUCUUCCUUGUAGAGUGUUGAUGGUGGAUUUGAUUUUAUUUCAAGUGAAUUGGUUAGGAAAUGUUGAAUUAUGAUGAGAAAAUCAAGUAGGAAAAAUCAUAGUGUUGAUGCACCCACCAUGGUCGAAUUUUCCAAGAGAAAAUGUGAGGAUGAUUUUGCCAUAUUUCAAGUUAUUUAAUUUGUGUUUGAUGAUUUGGAGUAUUGGGAGAAAAAUGAAAUUAUUUGGAGUUGAAUUGGAUGUAUUGGCCAAUUAAUCGGGUGAUAGAUCGAAUUAGGCCAAUACCGUUUUAUUUAGGUACAUAAUUGAAUUUAUAUUGAACACAGUAUUUAGAUAGUCACCCGAGUAUUUCACAUCCCAUUUCAUGCAUUAGUAUAGAGCCUGAAUUGGUUUUAUAACAAUUUAGCACAAAUGUAGUAAAUGGCUUAUUGUGCAUUAUGUCUAGGUGAUGAGAAUUUUGGCAAAAGUAAAGAGAUAGUACCCGAGGAUCAAGAAUCGGAGUACUCGAAACUCGAUUUCCAUUACAGUGAGUAACCUUAUUAUCGUCUUAAUUAUCUAAAGUAGUUUUUAUUCGUUUUUUUGAUUUGAUAGAAAAAUGAGUUGAAAUGGUAAAUCUUUAUAUUUUAUAAACAAAAUGUGAUGAAAUGAAAUGAUUUUAUAAAAUUGACUUGAAAUUGAAAGAUGGUUUUGAAAAUGGAGUAAUUGGAGACUAAUUGCUGUGUUAUAAAUCAUGGUUUGAAUUGAAUGGCUUAUGAUAAUAUUGGCAUGAAUGGUUGGAUUUGGUAAAUGUGUUGAAAAGGUAUGAACUGUUGAUUUGCCUUGAGAGGCUAUAAAAUAAAAUAAUUGCCAUGUCAUGCUGUUGAAUUUUAUUGAAUUUGUGGGUUAUAAAUUGGUCGCUGCAAUGGACGGGUUCCGUGAACCAGCCUAUUAGCGGGGCACGGUAACCCUAUUAUAUUCUUACCUCAGUAUGAGAGGCACGGAUGGAUAACUCCUGAGGUUAACACUUUAGAGUUCACUUCACGCUAAACCACCACGUGAGGGUGAACUUAGCCAACGCCAAUGAAUGACUAUGUUUUCAAAAUAAAAACAUGAUUUAUGCGUACAUAACUUUUUAACAGCCUUGGCGGACUCGGUUGGGAUAGCCCUCGGCCAAGGUAUCCCUGCUAACUGAGUAUGAGAAUGAUUUUGGCACGAGCCAAACCUUUCAGGAAAUCAUAAGCCUCGUUAUUUAUUUUGGUGAAAUGAAUCUAUUUUAUCUUAUUAAAUUGAGUUCAAAAUGUUGAGAAUCAUUUUUAUGCUAAUCUAUUUUAUCUGUCUCCAUUUACUCAGUUUUAGAUAUUUUAGAUGGUAUUGGUUUACUUAUUGAGAUUAUAUAAUCUCACCACCCUCCUUUCCACCCAUUUCAGGCUUAGGAUAGUCGGUAGAUAGCUCACUUUGUUGAGGGCUACAGUUGGACUUGCAUCCUCAAAAACUGUAGGUUUAUCGCUUUUGAUACUUUUGGCCGUUCGUGGGCCCACGUGUUGCUGUAAAUGAAAUUUUAUACUGUGGUUAUCUAUAUUAUUGUAUGUAUGAAUUUAUUUAGGUUUUACGCUAUAAAAAUUAUUUACUGGUAACUCUAUAAAUAUUGUUUUAAAAGAAAAUAGAAUAUUUUAUUGAAUAUUUUUAUUAUAUUCAAAUAGUCAUAAUUUCAUUUUAAAUGAAGGUUUUAGACGUUUAAACUUAUUUUUGAUUAUGAAUUAUGUGUUUUAUACUUGCAUACUACAUUUUUAGUUGGUUUCAAAAUUUUUGGGAAAAAAUGACCAAAAUGCCCCUAUGAGACAGAAAUCAUUUUUUUUAUUGAUUUAAGUUGGAAAUAGCUUAAAAUCUUUUAGAACAUGAUAUUUGGCAAUGGUUACUCAUAGGGGAAAUGAGAAACUGAUAUUCAAGCCUUGCAGGGUUCCGAUUGACAUUCCGGGUAAUGAGUGUUGAUCGGGACACCGCAGUAGUUGUGAUGGGCUCGAAGGGAGUAUUGGGUCGUGACAAUUAGAGUGGUGUCAAAGCUUUUAGUUUUAAAGAUAAGAGCUUUUGGUUUUAAAGAUUAGGGCUUUUGGGUUUAAAGUUAUUUUAAAGUUGUUUUAAAAUUUACAGUGUCAGUGUGGCCCCAAGUUAAGUUAGGUUUGAUAUAAUAGAAUACGUGCAUCUGCAUAUAGAUUUUGGAGUUGUUUAGACUCGUUCUGUUUCUUCUUAUAGAUCUUAUGGGAGCAUAAGUCAUAGACAAGGAGCUAUAUGAACUCUUGUUCCCAGUAAUCCACUUCCUUGUUAAUGUCAUGCAAAGGUCAUAAGUAGGGUCGUUGUUCGGGUUUACGAUGCCACUUGUGACAUGAGCCAGUGUUAGAGAGAUCAUAAAACGAAUGCUCCUAAUGAAAGAUUAAUGGAAUGAUAUAUCCCUCCGAUUAAGGAUGGAGAAAUUUGGAAUUGGACUAAUAGGCCGUGAUAAUUUAUUCAUUUGGUGGAGUUAUAAUUAAACUCAUGGUUGUCAAUUGGAAAAAGAUUUGGGGACUAUGGAUUGUAUCGAGGUUAAUAUAAAGGAGCACGUGUGAUAAUGGUAAUAAGGGGCGCACUUUGAUUAGAAUGAAUAGUGAUGGUUGUAAUUCACUUGGAGUGUAUAAAUUAAGCAUUGAGGUAAGAGGAAACCCAUACUUAUGUGCAUGAAGAUAAGAACACUAUGUUAAUUGAGCUUGUUAUGCCCAUAUAAAAGUGGUGUUAGGAUUUUGAAAUCUUUUAUAUGUGAAUAUGUGUUGAAUAGGUACAAUAGCUUAGAGGGAACUGAUGUUGAUUUCAAUUAAGCGAUUGUGAGAUUUCAAGAAUUGAUUGGACCUAUUAUAGUUCAUGGAUAUAAGCACGUGAAUUAAGUCGAGAUUGAGUAUCAAUGAUUACUAUAAUUGAUGUGUGGUCAUGAAGUAAGAAGUUAGUAAACAAAUCUGCUCUAAGGAUGAGCUUGAACUUUGUUAUGCAUAGCAGGGGGAGCCAACGGAUUAAAGGACUAGAUGUGGAAUUGGCAGCUUGAGGUUAAAUGACUUGGAAAUGUCGAAUCUAGUCUAAAUGCCAUAUAAAGUUCUAUAAUUGAGACUGAUAUACGGAAUACUUGAAAGAUCAAUUUAAAAGUUUAUUCGGUUCAAAGUGUGGCUUUAUGAUACGAAUGAUCAAUCUUGAAGGUGAUCUCCCCAAAGUAAGGAAUUUAGAAAAUGUUGAUGUUUAGAUGUACUCUAAAAGAGAGAACUUCUGCAUCCUAAGUUUAGGACAACUUUGAUCUUAUGAUUGCAAAGGCAAGGUGUAAUAACUAAGUAAAUUAUUCACUUAAUAAAUGUGAUUGGUUAUUGAUGAAUAAAGUCAAGAUCUUGAUAUUUAGUGGUAUACAAUUUGAUAAUUAUGUAUUUAAGAGUUAUUUGGAGACAAUUCCUUCAUCAAAUUUGCACUAAAUGCUAUGGUAAAGGCAUAUCAAUGUUAAUAUGGAAAUGUAUCNNNNNNNNNNNNNNNNNNNNNNNNNNNNNNNNNNNNNNNNNNNNNNNNNNNNNNNNNNNNNNNNNNNNNNNNNNNNNNNNNNNNNNNNNNNNNNNNNNNNNNNNNNNNNNNNNNNNNNNNNNNNNNNNNNNNNNNNNNNNNNNNNNNNNNNNNNNNNNNNNNNNNNNNNNNNNNNNNNNNNNNNNNNNNNNNNNNNNNNNNNNNNNNNNNNNNNNNNNNNNNNNNNNNNNNNNNNNNNNNNNNNNNNNNNNNNNNNNNNNNNNNNNNNNNNNNNNNNNNNNNNNNNNNNNNNNNNNNNNNNNNNNNNNNNNNNNNNNNNNNNNNNNNNNNNNNNNNNNNNNNNNNNNNNNNNNNNNNNNNNNNNNNNNNNNNNNNNNNNNNNNNNNNNNNNNNNNNNNNNNNNNNNNNNNNNNNNNNNNNNNNNNNNNNNNNNNNNNNNNNNNNNNNNNNNNNNNNNNNNNNNNNNNNNNNNNNNNNNNNNNNNNNNNNNNNNNNNNNNNNNNNNNNNNNNNNNNNNNNNNNNNUUUUCAUGAUAAUGAAAUAGAUAAAGAUUAUCGAUAUGGACAUACACUUGGAGUUGUAAUUUACAAGUUUGGAGUAUUUAAGAUAUGAUUAAGUGGAAUUAGCAUUAGUUAAGGUAUGUAAAUCUUUUCAUUAAUUUAUGUGGAGUAUGCAUGAUAAUAGAAUGGAGGAACAUAGUGCCGUGAUACUAUAUGGUGAAGUUACUAUACAAUAUGGACAGAGUAUUCUAAAGUGGGAUUUAUUGAUUGUUGACAAGUGUUAUAGGAUGAGAUGAAUUUGAAAAUAUUGACUUUACCUAUUAUAUGUGGUAAGCACAAGAGGAUAUAAAUGGUUAUGAAAAUUGUGACAUAAGCUUGGAGGGAAACCAAACGGUUGAGAAUGAUUAGUGUAGUAACCUUAAAUAUAGAUGAAUAACAUUGAUUAAGUAAACUCCAACAGCCACCGUGCUGUGGUGCUAAGAACACUUCAUGUCUAGGACGCAUGAAUAAAAUGAGACAAAUGUGAAGUUAAACUUACGAGUUGACCUAAAGUCAUUGAACUUGAUUCUAAGUUUUGUUAACUGGAGUUUUAAGGUUUUGGAAGGUAUCGAUAUGAAUGAGUUAAAGUUGAAAUGGUUAAAGGCGUUUCCUUCGGGGGGGGGGAGCAAAAGGUCUGGGGUUCCAAACUUGGCGAAAAGGUCCUGCAGGGCUUGUCUUGCCGCCCUUAGGCGCUGGGUUCCGAGGAAGUCAAACGAUGGGGAUCCAGACAUAACAAUACCUUGGAGUGGGCCCCGAAGGGGAUGCCACAUAAAUGGCUAAGUUACGGGUUAAGUGAUCACAUGUUGUGAGACAUAAGUUCAAGAUAGAUUCCCCAAGGAAAUACUGAAGAGAAGUUCUGCCAUGGAUCUCGUGAAAGCAGGCACUAAGUUAUGUGGUUAUAAAAAGGAAGCUGUAAGCUGAGAGUAAUAUUUGUAUUAAUAUUGAAAAAUAGUUGAGGAGAAUCUAGUUUCAAGUCUUGUAAUUUCAAGUACAAUUUCUAAAUUGGCUAAAGGAGAAUGAUGUUAUGUUCAUAUGAAAGAGUGGAACAAAGGAUGAUUGAAGUUAACCUUGAUAAUGAAGUCAGAUAAUGAAACUUUCCUAAUAUAUUAUGGAAAUUGGAAUUCGAAAAUGCUUGAGGCAUACAUGAUUCAAAUGAGUUUGAGUUUUAAGUGACAAAUCAAUAUUGGAAUGCAAGAAGGAUACAAAGUAAUGUAGAGGCAUGAAGGAUAAUCGAGGAAAAAGGAUGACUCUUAGGAAUUGUGGUAUUGCAUAACAUGCAAUGAUCAAGUCAAGGAAAAUUUUUGAAGUAUCAAUGGGAUUAUAAAGCAUACACGCAUAAUAGAUUAUAAUUCAAUGGAGAUGACAUUAUGAUGCAAUGAUAUAUAGUACAAUGAAACUUAAGCAUAUAAUUGGAAAUGAUAAGAAGAGUGUAUAAGUAUGUAAAUGAUGUGGAACUAUGCACAGGCAUGAUGAGAAUUUGUAUAAAUUAUGAAGAUUAUUCUAUUGAAUCUUGGUUAUGGAUGGGAAUGAACAAAGAGAAAUUAGUCUGAAGGUAUUUGAAAACAGAGACCCGUAUACUUAAUGAGGAAUAUGGACAUUUGAAUGUGCAUGUAUACGCAUGUGUGGAGUUAGCAAUGUACCGAACUAAAAUGAAGAAUGGUUUUUGUGGUUCGAGAUUUGAACUCAAUAUCUUUGAUGAGUUGUAUAGAUAACGUAACGAUCAAGAAUCUUAUCAAAAGUUGAUUUAUGACGACCUAAGGAAUUUUGGGGAAAUAGUUAGGGGAAUGUAACCAAUAAUGUGAUUAAGCCAUAUGAGAUGGAUUAAUAGGAUUAAGAAGAUUGAAAUUUCCUAAAUGCAAGGUAAACAUGAAGUAUGUGAAAAUAAUUGAAGCCAUUAAUCUUCCCUAACGUUGAGGAUAUGUAUAAGAAUGAGUAUGGCAUGUUAAUGAUGCCGUAAACUACACAAUAGUGUAUGAGGAUAGGAUGAAUGAAUGAAAGUCAAGAAAUUUGAUAUGGAAUGAAGUAAUAAGAUAGUGAUUGGUAUACCUAAAUAAGUAUAGAAUGUGAUCGAAAUUGGCAUGAUUGGGAUGGAGUUAUGGUUCAAGUUUAAUGAUANNNNNNNNNNNNNNNNNNNNNNNNNNNNNNNNNNNNNNNNNNNNNNNNNNNNNNNNNNNNNNNNNNNNNNNNNNNNNNNNNNNNNNNNNNNNNNNNNNNNNNNNNNNNNNNNNNNNNNNNNNNNNNNNNNNNNNNNNNNNNNNNNNNNNNNNNNNNNNNNNNNNNNNNNNNNNNNNNNNNNNNNNNNNNNNNNNNNNNNNNNNNNNNNNNNNNNNNNNNNNNNNNNNNNNNNNNNNNNNNNNNNNNNNNNNNNNNNNNNNNNNNNNNNNNNNNNNNNNNNNNNNNNNNNNNNNNNNNNNNNNNNNNNNNNNNNNNNNNNNNNNNNNNNNNNNNNNNNNNNNNNNNNNNNNNNNNNNNNNNNNUCGAACUAGUCCAAAUAGAGAUUUUAAGAUGAAAUUGAGAAUUUUAAAACCCCAGAAUGACUUAAAAUGGUGAUUUGAAAUUCGAGGACUGAUUUAGAGUCAAAUUAGAAUUUUCAUGACCUAGGGGCAAAAUGGUCAUUUCUCUACCUGAGGUUAAGAUGUGAGUGUUGGAUGAAAUUUUUGACUAUGAUUGAUCAUUUGGAGUAUAAUUUGAGUUUGGGAAGUGAAAAAUUUUAAUUUCAACAUUUUUUCGAGCAUAGGGGUAAAAUAAUCAUUUUGCCACCCAAGGGCAAAAUUGUAAUUUUACAUCACCCAACACUUGUCCAGCACAUGAAUUUUACUCGAUAUUAUUAUGGAUAAUUGAAGGAUUUUAUGUGGUGGAGAAAGAAAGAUUAAUAGUUAAGAAAUUAAAAAUGGACCAAUGGUAAGGUGACAAGUGUCAAGCUAUUAUUUUUUUAUUAUUUUCCUUAUAAAUUAGUACAAAACCAGCCCAUUUCUCAUUUUUAUGGCCGGUCAGAGCAAGAACAAAGGAAGAAAAGGAAGAACAAAACCCUAGGUGGAAAAAUUCAAGGGAAAAGUGUGUAAAUUCAAGGAAACAAGGGAAAAAAAAGGUAAGAUUUUUCAAUUAACCUUGAGAUCUCUCUUUCUUAAGCAUUUUUCUUAUUUUCCAUGGUUGAAUCACAUGAAAUCAUCAUCGAUCUCUUGUUGAUCAAACCCUAGGAGAGAGAGUUUGAUGAUGAUUUAGAUAGAUUUUUAAGAUAUAUGGAUGUUUUUAGUUGUUUAUGGUGUUAAGUGUAAGAAUUAAGUUUGAAAUUCACAUAUUCCUCAUGAGUUCAUCAUUGGCUGAAUCUUCCUUGUAGAGAGUUGAUGGUGGAUUUGAUUUUAUUUCAAGUGAAUUGGUUAGGAAAUGUUGAAUUAUGGUGAGAAAAUCAAGUAGGAAAAAUCAUAGUGUUGAUGCACCCACCAUGGCCGAAUUUUUCAAGAGAAAAUGUGAGGAUGAUUUUGCCAUGUUUCAAGUUAUUUAAUUUGUGUUUGAUGAUUUGGAGUAUUGGGAGAAAAAUGAAAUUAUUUGGAGUUGAAUUGGAUGUAUUGGCCAAUUAAUUGGGUGAUAGAUCGAACUAGGCCAAUACCGUUUUAUUUAGGUACAUAAUUGAAUUUAUAUUGAACACAGUAUUUAGAUAGUUACCCGAGUAUUUCACAUCCUAUUUCAUGCAUUAGUAUAGAGUCUGAAUUGGUUUUAUAACAAUUUAGCACAAAUGUAGUAAAUGGCUUAUUCUGCAUUAUGUCUAGGUAGUGAGCAUUCUGGCAAAAGUAAAGAGAUAGUACCCGAGGAUCAAGAAUCGGAGUACUCGGAACUAGAUUUCCAUUACAGUGAGUAACCUUAUUAUCGUCUUAAUUAUCUAAAGUAGUUUUUAUUUGUUUUUGUGAUUUGAUAGAAAAUUAGUUUAAAUGGUAAAUCUUUAUAUUUUAUAAACAAAAUGUGAUGAAAUGAAAUGAUUUUAUAAAAUUGACUUGAAAUUGAAAGAUGGUUUUGAAAAUGGAGUAAUUGGAGACUAAUUGUUGUGUUAUAAAUCAUGGUUUGAAUUGAAUGGCUUAAGAUAAUAUUGGCAUGAAUGGUUGGAUUUGGUAAAUGUACUGAAAAGGUAUGAAUUGUUGAUUUGCCUUGAGAGGUUAUAACAUAAAAUAAUUGCCAUGUCAUGCUAUUGAAUUUUAUUGAAUUGGUGGGUUAUAAAUUGGUCGCUGCAGUGGACGGGUUUCGUGAACCAGCCAAUUAGCGGAGCACGGUAACCCUAUUAUAUUCCUACCUCAAUAUGAGAGGCGCGGAUGGAUAACUCCUGAGGUUAACACUUUAGAGUUCACUUCACGCUAAACCACAACGUGAGGAUGAACUCAGCCAACGCCAAGGAACGACUAUGUUUUUAAAAUAAAAACAUGAUUUAUGGGUACAUAACUUUUUAACAGCCUUGAUAGACUUGGUUGGGAUAGCCCUCGGCCAAGGUAUCCCUGAUAACUGAGUAUGAGAAUGAUUUUGGCACGAGCCAAACCUUUCAAGAAAUCAUAAGCCUCUUUGUUUAUUUUGGUGAAAUGAAUCUAUUUUAUCUUAUUGAACUGAGUUCAAAUUGCUGAGAAUCAUUUUUAUGCUAAUCUAUUUUAUCUGUCUCCAUUUACUCAGUUUUAGAUAUGUUAGAAGGUAUUUGUUUACUCAUUGAGAUUAUAUAAUCUCAUCACCCUACUUUCCACCCAUUUCAGGCUCAGGAUAGUCAGUAGAUAGCUCACUUUGUUGAGGGCUACAAUUGGACUUGCAUCCUAAAAAACUGUAGGUUUACCACUUUUGAUACUUUUGGUCGUUCGUGGGCCCACGUGUCACUGUAAAUUAAAUUUUAUACUUUGGUUAUAUGUAUUACAGUAUGUAUGAAUUUAUUUAGCUUUUACGCUACAAAAAUUAUUUACCGGUAACUCUAUAAAUAUUUUUUAUAAGAAAACAGAAUAUUUUAUUAAAUAUUUUUAUUAUAUUCAAAUAGUCAUAAUUUCAUUUUAAAUGAAGGUUUUAUACGUUUAAACUUAUUUUUGAUCAUGAAUUAUGUGUUUUAUACUCGCAUACUAUAUUUUUAGUUGGUUUCGAAAUUUUUGAGAAAAAAUGACCAAAAUGCCCCAGUGAGAUAGAAAUCAUUUUUUUUAUUGAUUUAAGUUGGAAAUAGCUUAAAAUCUUUUAGAACAUGAUAUUUUACAACGGUUACUCACAAGUGAAAUGAGAAACUGAUAUUAAAGCCUUGCGGGGUUCCGGUUGAUAUUUCGGGUAAUGAGUGUCAAUCGAGACACCGCGACGGUUGUCACGGGCUCGAAGGGAGUAUCGGGUCAUGACAAAACACAUUGAACUAGGGGACUAUGUUAUAAUAAGUGGGUUUAGUGCAUUGUAAUUGCACAGGAUAUUGGGAGACAGUGUGGUAAGACUAACAAUCAGUCAUGGAGAUGUGAAAUUGGGAAUCUUAAUUGUAGUUACAAUUCGAAAGGAUAUGGAAGAAAUCAAUGAGGCUGUAAAUGACAUUUUGAGCGAUUAAUGUGAUAAAGCCAAAGAUUGCAAGCUUGAGGGUGGAGGAAGUAUAAAAUGAUACCAUAAAAUUAUAGAAAGAUAAUCUAAUACAAAUAUGGUCCAUUAGAGAUAAAUGAAGGAACUUCGAAAAAGAUAAAUUUUUGAUUAAUAAGGAUUGUGAGUGUGAUACCCCAUAUUUUGAAACAGUGAUUAAUAAAGUUGAUCGGAUGCAAAUUGAGGCAUAAUAAGGUAUUUUAGGUACCAAGGAGACAAUAGGAAAUUUUUAGAAUAAAAUAAUAUUUUUUUAAUAAAAUAAUAUUAAAAUAUUGAUAUUUAACCGGAUGUCAAAAUCAAAAUCAGUCGUGAAGAAGGAUCAUAUGGUUGAUCCAAGUGGGGGGAGAAGAAAUAGAAAUAAAUUUUUGGAGAUAAAUGGCGUAAGUUAAACCGCAUGAUUUUAUUAAAUCGAGUUAGCGCGGGUAAGUAAAUAUUUAAAAUAUUAUGGUGACACAGCGUUGAAGUAAAAUUUCGAUGUUUUGAUUGUACGCUUGUAAAGUAAAAAGAUAGAUGAAAAUUAAAAUUUUUAGACGUAUUAAAAGGAUCGAAUUUGAAAUAUAAAGAUUGAAGAAUAUGUAGUGGAAUUAAUGAGAGAAAUAAAAUGAACAUAUAGUAAAAUAAUAAUAGUAUAUAAAAAUAUAUAUAUAUAUAUAUAUAUAUAUAUAUAUAUGUAAAGAUAGACCAACAUAGGCAGCCGCCAAUGUGGUCAAUAAAAAGAGUCAAAAGACUCUUUAAUUUAAUUGAUGGAAGGGGGGGUAGACCAUGUGGAACAAAAUGAAGAAAGAAAGAAAAAUGUGAGGGCCAGCCAAGUUGGAAUAAAAUGGAAAGAAUAAAAUAUGUAUAUAUGGGUGAAUAAGUAAAGUGAAGAAGACAAGAUGAAAGAGAGAAGUCGGUUAGUUAAGAGAAGAAAAAGAAACAAGAAGAAGGCGUGAGCAAAGAGAACAAAAAGAAACAAGAGANAUAUAUAUAUAUAUAUAUAUAUAUGGGUGAAUAAGUAAAGUGAAGAAGACAAGAUGAAAGAGAGAAGUCGGUUAGUUAAGAGAAGAAAAAGAAAGAAGAAGAAGGCGUGAACAAAGAGAACAAAAAGAAACAAGAGAAGGCCGAGUGGUGAGGAAGAAAAGAAAAGUCAAAAAGCUAAGUUGAGAGGGGCGGUUUUGCUACCAUUUAAGGAGGAAAAGAGAGCAAUUUUUCUGUACAUUUAAGGAAUGAGAGGAGCAGCUUUAGCUGCUGAUUUUGAAGGUUGAAAAGUGCUGUUUUGCUACUAGUUUUGGAGGUUGAGAAGUGCAGAUUUUUGCAGCUGAUUUUGAAGGUUGUAAAGUGCAGUUUUGGUUGUUAAUCUUUGUUGUUUUGGCUGCUGAUUUUUGGAGGGAAAAUAGAGCAGCUUAGCUGUUGAUUUUUGAGAACAAAUAGAGCAGCUUUGCUGCUGAUUUUGAAGUCAAUAUGAGCAGCCUUAGCUGCUGAAAAAUUAUGGUUGAAAAAGCUAGAAAGUGUGGCCGACGGUGAGAGGGAGAGAGAGAGAGGAAAUUGUGGACAGCUCUUGUACGUGAGAAAGGAAAAAGAAAGACAAGCAAGAAGCUGCUGGUCGGCCGGAGAGAAGAGGAAGAAUAAAAGAGAAAGAAAAGAAAAGAAGAGAAAAAAAAAGAAAAAUAUAUAUAUGCAUAUAAAUGGACAUGGCCCAAUAAGGAUAGAAUGGGCAUGACCCAAGUAAAAAGAAAUGGGAGAAGUCCAUGAAAAAGGACCCAAAAACAACAAAGGAAGAAAAGUCCAAAAGAAAAGGAAGGUGGAGACUUGGGCCAACCUAGCCUAAUUGGGUAAAAUUUCUUUACUCUACUCCAUGGCUUAUUGUGAAAUUGGACUUUAUAGAGGCUAGCACAUUUUAUUUAAUUAUACAUUGGUUAUUUGGUGAUAUGAAUUAAAUUUAAAUUACUUUAAUACAACAUUUAAAUAUUUUAUUAGGAGGUAUCAUAGGACUAAAGUAAAGAAGAAAAUGUAAAAUUUACGAAUAGUGCUCGAAUGAAGUUAAGAAAUUUUAAAUGAUUCGUUGUGAAGAAUUAUUGAUGUCGGAAGAAUUUAGAUGCAUCAUUUUGUUGAGAGUGUUAAGUUGAAUGGUAAAAUAUUGAAAGAAAUGGGGAGAAAUAAUGUAGAUUUAUGAUAGAAUGAGAGAGAGAAGUGGAAUUGAUGCACUAAAUAUAUUGGAUUUAAAUUGUUGCUAGGAAAGUUUGUUGUGGGAGCGUGCCGAACGACGUAGGUGACUGGCAAAUAGGAAUAAUUAUACGAGUACAAAUCAAUAGCGACGUAGAAAUCCCACUAUUGUGAAGUGAGUAACCUUAUCAUCAUUUUAAUCAUCUAAUGUGGUCUUUUUAUUUGAUUUUGUGAAUUUUAUGGAAAAUGUGUUUAAAUGAAAUGGACUUAUAAAUUGUCUUGAAAUUGAAUGAUAAUUUUGAAAAUAGAGUAAUUGGAGACCACUUGAUGUGUUGUAAAUUUAUGGUUCUAAUUGAUUGGCUUAUGGCAAUAUUGGCAUGAAUGGUUGACUUGAUAAAUGUGUUGAAAAUGCAUGAAUUAUUGAUUUGCCUUGAGAAGCUGUAAAAUAAAAUAAUUGCCAUGUCAUGCUAUUGCAAAUUUUAUUGUAUGGUGGGUUUAGCUUGCUGUAGUGGGCGAGUUCUGUGGACUAGCCUAUUAGAGGGGCACGAAAUCCAAUUAUAUUCAUAUCUCGGUCGAAGAGGCGCGUAGGGUAUCUCUUGAGGUAUGGUUAGAGUUCACGUCACACCGAACCACCUCGUGAUGAUGAACUCUGCUAACGCCAAGGAACGGUUGUGUUUUCAAAACGAAAUAAAAAUAAGUUUUACAUGUAUACGAAGUUUUUAAUAGCCUUGGCGGGCUCGAGUGUACGCCUCUGAUCAAGGUGUCAUCGAUUACUAUUUGAUGGCAUAAGCCAAAUGUUUAUGAAAGUCAUAAGCCUUAAUGAGAAAUUAAAUGAAAUACAACCGUUUGCAUGGGUUGGGAGGAAUUUUCAAAUUGUGAAAUACGUAAUGUGAUGGGAUAUUUUGAUUGUCUUCUUUUUCUCGGCUUUAGCUUAUUUAAAUGAUGUUUGUUUACUCACUGGGAUUUUAUAAUCUCACCACCCUCCUUUCCACCCAUUUCAAGCUCAGAAUAGACUGUAGAUAGCUGGUAUCAUCGAGGACUACAGUUGGACUUGCAUCAUCCAAAAACUAUAAGUUCAUUUCUUAUGAUAUUUUUGGUGAUUCGUGGGCCCACGUGUCAUUGUAAAUUAAAUUUUAUACUUUACUUAUCUGUAUUACAGUACGUAUGAAUUUAUUUAGCUUUUACGCUACAAAAAUUAUUUAUCGGUAACUCUAUAAAUAUUAUUUUAUAAGAAAAUAGGAUAUUUUAUUGAAUAUUUUUGUUAUAUUGAAAUAGGUAUAGUUUAGUUUAAAAUAAAUGUUUUAGACAUCUAAAUUUAUUUCUGAUUAUGAAAUAUGUGUUUUCCACUCAUAUACUGCAUUUUUAACUGGUUUUGAGAUUAAUGUGAAAAAAUGACCAAAAUGCCCAUGUGAGACAAAUUAUUUUUCUAUUGUUUCGAUUUUGAAAUAGUUUAUAACCUCUCAAAACAUGUUAUUUUACAACUGUUGAUCACAAGGGAGGUGAGAAAACUGAUAAUAAAGCCUUGCGAGGUUCUGAUUGGCAUUCCAGGUGAUGAAUGUCUAUCGGGAGAUCGCGACGGUUGUCACGGGCUCGAGGAGAGUACCGGGUCGUGACAAUUCAAGUGGUAUUAGAGCUUUUGGUUUUAAAGAUCAGAGUUUUGGUUUUAAAGUUGUUUUAAAAUUUACAGUGCCAGUCUGACCCAAGUUAAGUUAAGUUAGGUUAUAUUGAAUAGAAUGCAUGCAUCUACAUAUAGAAACCUACCUACUCUUGUGAUGCAUGAAUAAUUAAGUAAUUACUACUUGGUUGCAUAUAGGUUUUGAGGUGCACUGGUGACAUACACACCAUGUCUAGAAGAGGUGGUAGUCCCAAUACCCUUCAUAGUGCUAGUGAGGGAUCAUUAGAUUCCAUUGCUAGAAGCCAAUGGCACCCUGAUUCAGGUAAUUCGAAAAGUGGUCCAUCCUGAAUUCCUAUUAAUAAAAUUCCUCCGAACUUAGUAGAAUGGUUUCGUAAUAAGAAAAGCUUUGAGAGUAGCGAGAAUUUUGAAAGUGAGAGUAGCUCCGAUACUCCGAGAACUGAAAAAGAUUUCCUUUUGAAACAACCUGAAGAGUAACAUAGAAAAUGGACGAGGGAGGAAAUUUCAAGGGGAUAUAUUCAUUCUAGGAAGGACGUGUCAAUUGUACGACAUUUUCCUCCCGGUUAUGGAAGAAAUGCUGCACCGGUGAGUGAUGAGGAACGUAGGAGAAUACGACAAGCUUGGAUUGAGGAACAAAGGAGAAAAUCUCAAGAGGAGGAUAACUCAGAAGAGGAUCUUAAGAAAGACUUGGAGUAGAAUCUUUCGAUAAGAUCAGAUUAAGACGAUGAUCCCAAUGAUAUGUAAUAUUUUCGUACAAUUUUGUACUACUUUAACUCUAUGUAGAUGUAGUGUAAAGGAGAUAAUAGUAAUAUGUACAAAGAAGUUAAUAGUUUGACUUUUAAAGUGUAUGACUCGAACGGAAUGUAAAGUAGCUGUUUAAAUAACUGGAUAUGUAUGGGAAUCUUUUAGUAUGACAGGGAUAAAUUGGUAAUAUAAUUAUUGAGAAAGGUUAUAAAAGGAAGCAAUAAGGUUAUAAAUGACAUUCGAAAUGGAUAACGUGAUUAAGUUGAUGACUGUAAUUUAGGCAUGAAGGGGAUUACUCAGUGAUGCCAUGACACUAUGAGGUAAUAAUUAGGCACAAAUAUAGCCAAUGAAGUUAAAUUAUGGAAUAUGGGGAAUAUGAAAUUUUGAUUUAGUAAGGAUUGCGAGAAUAAAGUGGGAGGAAGCUGAGCUAUUUUCGUAGUUAAUUAUUCAGAUAGUCAAUAAAAUUAUUGGAGUACAAGAUAAGGAAGAUAAUUAGAUAGGGAUGACAAUAAAUUUGAGGAAAGCUGUAGACAGUAAGUAACUUAUGUGCAAGGUGGUAUAUGUGUUAUGAAUUUAUUACACCAUAUGGAAAGGAUGUUUUGAGGUAGGAUUCUAUGAAUGUUGAUGAAAGUCAAAAGAUUACAUAAGAUGAAAGUAUUAACUUGGCUUAGUGCGUAUGACAAGCAAAAAAAAGGUAUCUAUACUUAUGGAACUCAUGAUAUAUGCCUAGAAGGGAAACCCAAUGGUUGAGGAUGAUUGAUGUAGUGACUUUGAAUGUAGACAAAUAGCUUUGAUGAGGAAAUUUCUAGUAGUCACAGCGCCGCAGCACUGACUGUCCAGCGCUGUAAUACUCUGAAUACCUCACGCCUAUGAUGCAUGAGUAAGAUGGGAGUGACAUGAUAAUGAGCUUACAAAUUGAAUUUUGGUUAUUGGUUAUUGAGCUUUGUUAAUUAAGAGUUUUAAAUAUUCUAGAGGAUGUCUACUUGAAUGAAUUGAAAAGCUUCUUUAUCACCUUGUAUAUGGGCAUAUAAUUAAAAGAAAAAAUUGAAAGAUUCUUGAGAUGGCUACAUUGAGAUAAGAUACCAAGUGAUGAAAGUGUGAAUGAAGGAUUAUAAGGAUGGUAUAGAAAACAAGUUUAUAUAGAAUAUCCUUAUGAGAAUUUACAAUUAUUGUCUUGACUUAGUUAAACGACAAGGGUUAGUAACAACACGAGGCCAAUUGUGUAGCACCCUAGAAACCUAUGAAGAUGAGUUGGGGAUUGAAUGGAUGAGUAUGUAUUUAUAUACCUUUAACAUUAAGUGUUUUACGAAUGCACAAACAUCCUUGAAAAGAAACUUCUAAUCAUACACGACAAGUAUAAAAUGUGAGAUUUUUAAAACUUGCUAAAGAGCCUAACGGCUAAGUCACAAGUUAAGUGAUCACAUGCUGUGAGACAUAAGUCUAAGAUGGAUAUUCCUAAAGAGAUGUUCAAGAGGAGUUUUACUAUGGAUUUUGUGAAAGUUAGCAUUAAGUUAUGUGGCUAUAAAGAGGAAGCCGUAAGUUGGAAGUGAAAUUUGUGUUGAUGUUAAGAAGUACUUAAGAAGAACUUUGUUUCAAGUCUUGCAGUUCCAAGUACAAACUACAGAUUGGUCCGAGGAGAAUGAUGUCACAUUAGUAUAGAAUAAUAGAACAAAGGAUGAAUGAAGAUAAUUUGGACAAUGAAGCUAAUAAUGAAAACUUCCUAAGGUAGAAUGGAAAUUGGAAAUUUGAAAAUGCUUAAGGCAUGCAUGAUUCGAAUCAGUCUAAGUUUUUAAGUGACAUUUAGUAAGUGAGAUGUGAUUAAUGACAUUGUGAUGUGAGGAUAUAGCAUGAUGAAACUCAAGCAUAUGAUUGGAAAUGAUACAAAUGUUAUGAAGUUAUACGCAAGCAUAAUAAAAAGGUUGACAUGCAGUAAAAGGAUUAUUAUAUUGAAUCUAGGAUUAGGAUGCAGAUGAAUAAAGGGGAAUGUAGUCCAAGGCAUGUGAACACAUGGAUCCCUAUAAAUAAUGAGAGAUGUUGACAUUUGAAAAUGCAUGUACAUAUGUAUAUAUAAAAUUGAUAAUUUGACUAACUAAGGUGAAGAAUUGUUCUCAGUAAGUGGGAGAUUUUGAAAUAAUGUCCAGAGGGGUUAGUGAGCUAAAGUGUUAUCGAGCAUGCAAUGAACGAUUAAAGUUAUGAGUGACUUUGAAGGUAAGCCUUGGAUUGUUUAACUUCUCUGUCACGACCCGGAACCUCCCUCGGGCCCAUGACAACCGCCGCAACAUCUCGAUUAACACUCAUUACCCGAAAUGCCAACCGGAACCUCGCAAGGCUUACAUAUCAGUUUCUUUCCUUUCCUGUGAGCAAUCGUUAUUCAACAUUCCAUUUUAAACAAUUACCGGUCGUUUCCGGCUCAAAUAAAUCCAAAGAUAAUUUAAUUUUUUUAACAGGAUUUAUAGACAAAUAUCACUAAUCAAAAUAUUGAUUAAAAUAUAGCAUUUUUAUAUAAAACAAUAUUUAUAGAAACACGUGUAAGAAAUCUUUUGUAAUGUGUAAGUAAAAUAAAUUCAUACAUAUAAAAAUUUACUAAGUUAUAAUGUACAAUAAUGGUACAAUGACAAGUGGCCUAAAAUACACCCAGUGUUGGUGCUAGAAACCUACUGUCUGUGUGGUCGAGAUGUCAACUGGAAUCCUCAACAAAAUAGGGUAUCUACAAGCUACCACAGACCUGAAAUGUUUGGAAAGGAGGUGGGUGAGAUUUUUGCAAUCCCAAUAAGUAAACAGACAUUAUCAUAAAUAUCUAAAGGCGAGUAAAAUGGAGGCAAGUUUAAACAAUAAAUUACAAACCAUUUCAUAAUGUUUUCAAUUUAUUUCUUAAACCAUAAAAUAUUUGUAAUUUACCAAAAUAGUUGUUAAGGCUUAUGUCUUUUAUUAAAAACAAGGCUCAAGCCAAAACUAAUCCUCGGGGAUACCUUGGUCGAGGCAUCUAAACGAGUCCGCCAAGGUUGUUAUAACAUUUACACAUGAAACGCAUUUUUAUUUUUAAAACAAGUCGUUCCUUGGUGUUGGCCGAGUUAUACAUUCACAUGGGGGUUCGACGUGAAGUGAGCUCUAAUACUACCCCAGGAGUUACUCUCCUCGCCUCUACAACCGGAGUAACUAUAUAACCAGGUUUACCGUGCCCCUCUAAUAGGCAGUCCACAAAAACCCGUCACUACAGUGACUAACCCACCAAUUUUAAUAAAAUUUCAACAGUAUAACGUGGCUUUUAUUUAUUUAUCCAGCCUGCAUAGUAAAAACAGCUUACAUAAAUUUCCCAAUACACUUACAAAAUAUAGCCACAUAUACUCAUAUCUCAUAAGCCAUUAAUAGGAAAAUAUAUAAUUUUCAAGACAGUUAAUAGCCUCCAAUUAUUCGAUUUCAUAAUCAACAGAAUAUAUCUUUAUUUGUCACAUUUAUUUCUAAAACAUCAAAAAUCCCGUUUUAAUCUCGUUUUCAUUUCAUAAAAUACAUAAAGAGCAUUUAAAAAUAAACUCUAGAUAAUUAACAAUAAUAAUAAGUUUACUCACCGUUUGUACAAACUAAAAGCUUUCUAGGUGCCUCGAUAACUACUCGUCGAGUACGAUUUCCUUGCCUUUACCGGAAGGCUCUCCUCCUAGACACAUUACAAAAAUUUACUCAAUUCAUCACAUUAAUGCCAAAUCACUAUAUAUUUGACUUAAAUCCUAUACUAAUGCAUGGUAUGAAAUGCAAUAGCCAAAAACGGCUUAAAGGCGGUAUUAACCUAUUUUUUCGCACUUUACCCGAUAAAUUGCUAACGCGCUCCAUUCUAGCUCUAAAUUGUCCCAUUCUCUCUCCAACAUUUCUAACCAUUAAUUAUCAGCCAAUAUUCCUGUAAAAUCACCAAAAUCAGCUCACUCUCUUUCUUGGAAAAUUCGGCCAAAAAUGGGACAUUAACUCGGUUAAUUUUCCACUUUGUUUUUCUAUCACAUUUAACCAUUUUUCAUUAUUUUCUCUUCAUUUCUCUUAGAAUAAAAAUCAGAUUAUCAUCAUUGUACCUCAUUCGAGAUUCAGCCAAGGGUGGGUAUUGUGAAAAUUUAAUGCUUUCUUGCCCAAUUUAAUUUCUAAACACAUUUAACUAACUAAAACUAUCAAUUUAACUAAAAAUCAAAACUUAAAAAUUUCAAUUUCUCCCGCUUUGAAAUUCAGCCAGCCCUUGAUGUCACUUUUAGAUCUCUCUCCUCAAGCAUGCUAAAUGGAAACAAAGGCAUAGGAAAGGUAGAAAUCAAGCUAAAGUCGAAAAAUCUUACCGUUAGACACGUAAACGGGUGAAAAACGCGAAUUCCCCUUUGAAUUUUUCUAGUUUCCUUUUGUUUUCUUUCUUUUCUUCCUUUCCUCUUUACUUCCUCUCUUGUUCUUCCUUAUGGCCGGCCAUCACUUAAAAUGGGGUUUAAAUGGGCUGACUUUUCAUUAAAAUAAUAUUAAACCAUUAAAAAAAUACCAUGUGUCACUUUCCCAUUGGUCCAUUUUUAAAAUUUCAUCCAUUUACUUCCAAAUUUUCACCAUACACUUGUCCCACAUAUUCAUAGCUUGGAUAAAAUUCUCAGACUUAUCCAAAGUCUUGGUGGAGUAAUUUUUAAAAUCUACACUUUUGCCCCUAUAAAAGUUCAAAAAUUACAUUUUUGCCCCAAAAAUUGAAAAAUUGCCCAUAGACAUAUUUUUCAUCCCUUAUACUCAUACCAUUCUCCAGUUUGUCAAAUGUGAUCUAAAUUCUCUCAAAAUCUCAAAUUUUGUCCACGGGUGGAAAAAUUACGAUUUUACCCCUGAACAUCAAAAUUUUCAAUUUUUCCCCAAAUGAACACUCGAACUCCGAACAAUCAUUUUUAGUCAUUCCUUGACUAUAAAAUAUUAAAUUUCAUCCUAUGAUUCCUAUUUGAACUAGUUCGAGGUUAAAUCAGUUCAAGUGUACCAUUAGGUACAAUACCGAGUUUCGUCUAUUCAUAGGGACUUUCUUAGCAUAAUAACAUGCUACUCAGUGCAUGUUGUUAUAACAUGUAUUUAUAGGGUCGGGUUUUACAAUUCUACCCCCCUUAAAAUAAAAUUUUGACCUUAAAAUUUCACUUACCAGAUUCGACAAAUAGAUGCGGGCAUUGGCUCCUCAUAUGAUGCUCUACUUCCCAUGUCAUUUCUUCCAUUCAAGCAUUCUUCCACAAUACUUUCACCAUUGGAAUGCUCUCGUUCCUCAGCACUCGAUCCUUUCGAUCUAGAAUACGUACCCGCUGCACCUCAAACUUUAAAUUUUCAUGCAGUUCAAUCGGUGGUGUCUUUAGAAUGUGGGAAGGAUCGAGAACAUACUUUUUCAACAUCAAGACGUGGAAGACAUUAUGGAUCCGAUCUAACUCCGGGGGUAAUUCAAGUCUGUAAGCCACUAGUCCAAUCCUUUCAAUGAUACGAAAGGGUCCAAUAUAUCUCAGGUUGAGCUUUCCCCUCUUCGCAAAUCGAAUCACACCUUUCAUUAUCCAAUAAAACACCAUAAUUUAUCAUGAUAGUAUAAUCAAUAAGAUUUAAUACUUCAAAGUAUUCAAAUUAUUACCUUUCCAAGGAGAAACCUUAAGAAAAACUUUAUCAUCGAUCUCAAACUCCAAGUCUUUUCUCCGUUUAUCUGCAUAGCUCUUCUACCUAUCUUAGGCUACCUUUAGCCUCUCUUGUAUAACCUUGAUUUUGUCAUUAGUUAAAUCGAUCAAUUUCACACUAACUAACUUUCUUUCACCCACUUCAUCACAACAAAGUGGAGUACAACAUUUCCUUCCAUAUAAAGCUUCGUACGGUGCCAUACCGAUGCUAAACUAGAAGCUGUUGUUGUAAGCAAAUUCCACUAACGGCAAGUGUCUAUCCCAACUUCCAAGAAAAUCCAUGACACAAGCCCUCAAUAUACCCUCCAUAGUCUGGAUAGCCCUCUCUGACGGACCAUCCGUCUGUGGGUGAAAAGCAGUGCUAAAUUUCAAUUUGGUUUCGAGAGCUUCUUGAAAUUUUGGCCAGAAUCGAGGAUCUCAAUCUGACACUAUAGAAACGGGAACUCUAUGUAGCCUCACAAUCUCAUCUAUAUCGAGCUGAGCUAGCUUCUUAAUAGAGUAUGUUCUCUGGACAGCUAAAAAGUGAGCAAACUUAGUCAACCGAUCUACGAUCACCGAAAUUGCAUCAUUUCCUCUCUGUGUCUGCGGUAGUCCCAAAACAAAGUCCAUAGUUACAUGCUCCCAUUUCCACUCGGGAAUAGGUAAAGACUGAAGUGUACCUGCUGGCCUCGAUGCUCCGCCUUAACUUGCUGACAUACGCGACACUUUUACUACAAAUUCUGCUACGUCUCGCUUCAUACCUGGCCACCAAUAAUUCUCCCUGAUAGUCCUAUACAUCUUGGUGCUUCUAGGAUGUAAUGCAUAGGCAGAUGAAUGGGCUUCUUCCAUGAUCGCUUGUCUCAACUGGUUUUCCUCAAGAACACAAACUUGGUCUCUAAACAUCAAGACGUUAUCCUCUCCAAAUCUGAACUCACUUACUCCCCCAUCGAUCAGUUUUUGAAUUUAUUUUCUUAACUCAUCAUCAGAUCUCUGAAUGUCCUUGAUCUAAUUAAGUAACGAAGGUUGCACAAUGAAGCUUGCUAAUAAGGAUCCAUCCUCACCAUUUCUCAACUGGACCCCAAGAGAUUUCAUCUCUAAUAAUGCUGAAAAAUAACAACUCUGAAGUGCUGCUAAAGAUGAUGAAGACUUACGACUUAAGGCAUCAGCUACAACAUUCGCCUUUCCCGGAUGAUAAUCUAUCACCAAGUCAUAAUCUUUUAUCAACUCCAACCAUCGCCUUUGCCUCAAAUUAAGCUCCUUUUGGGUGAGCAAAUAUUUUAAACUCUUGUGAUCCGUAAAUAUCCUACAAUGCUCACCAUACAAGUAAUGCCUCCAUAUUUUUAAAGCAAACACCACUGCUCCUAACUCUAACUCAUGGGUAGGGUAAUUUACUUCAUGCUUCUUCAAUUGCCGAGAAGCAUAAGCUAUUUCUUUCUCAUCCUGCAUCAACACACACCGUAACCCCAACUUAGAUGCAUCACUGUAUACUACAAAUCCCUUACCACUCACAGAAAGUGUUAAAACGGGAGCGGAGGUUAACCGAUUCUCAGAAACAUCAUCCCACUCAAACUUAGCUCCCUUAUGAGUUAGAUGGGUCAAAGGAGCUGCUAUUAAGGAAAACCCCUAAACAAACCUCCGAUAAUAAUCUGCUAAUCCGAGGAAACUACGAAUCUCCGUCACCGUCUUAGGUUGCUCCCAUUGUAAAAUUGCCUCUAUCUUCUUGGGAUCAACAUAUAUUCCAACUCUCGAUACUACGUAUCCCAAGAAUACCACUUCCUGUAACCAAAACUCACACUUUGAAAACUUUGCAUACAACUGUCUUUCCCGUAAAGUUUGUAAUACUAUACGCAAGUGGGCAGCGUGUUCAUCAUUAUCUCUCGAGUAAACCAGUAUGUCAUCAGUGAACACAAUAACAAACUUGUCCAAGUAAGGGUGGAACACCUUGUUCAUGAGAUCCAUAAAAGCUGCCGGUGCGUUAGUUAACCCGAAAGGCAUGACCAAGAACUCAUAAUGACCGUACCGAGUCUUGAAUGCUGUCUUGGGUACAUCCUGUUCUCUAAUCCUCAAUUGAUGAUACCCAGACCUUAAAUCAACCUUAGAAAACACUGUAGCUCCCUGUAAUUGAUCGAAAAUAUCAUCAAUCCUCAGUAACGGAUACUUGUUCUUAAUGGUCAUUCUGUUAAGCUGUCAGUAAUCUAUACAUAAUCGAAGUGUACCAUCUUUCUUUUUUAGAAAUAAAAUCGGUGCUCCCCACGGAGAUAUACUAGGGCGUAUAAAACCCUUGUCCACUAACUCUUACAAUUGUACUUUCAACUCUGCCGGAGUCAUUCUAUAUGGAGGAGUAGAGAUAGGGGCAAUACCCGAAAGUAAGUCAAUGGUGAAUUCAAACUCACGAUCAGGAGGAAGUCCUGAUAAUUCAUCAGGAAAUACAUCAAGGAACUCACUUACUACGGGGACAUUCUCUAACUUAGGUUCCUCCCUCGAUAUAUCAAUCACGUGAGCCAAGUAUGUCAAAUAUCCCUUUCGCAACAAUUUCAAAGCUUUGAGGGCCGAGAUUACACAAAACGAUAAUACUCGACGCUCCCCGGUAAAUACAACUUCUGCUCCCUCUAAACUAUGGAAAAUCACUUCUUUCUUAAAACAAUCCACCUUUGCUCAAUGAGUGGACAACCAAUCCAUACCCAAGAUCAAAUCAAAGUCCCCGAAUCUUCGAAGGGAUUAAAUCACCCAUGAAUUCUUCUUCCCCAACUUUAAUACCACAGUCUCUAUAAUACGUAUUUCUUACUAACCACUCGCCUAGAGGAGUAUGCACUACAAUCUCUUCCUCUAACGAUGACAGGUUCCUAUUUGAGAAUGAUGCAAAUGAUAUGCUCACGUACGAUCUAUCGGAGCCUGAAUCUAUCAAAACAUGUGCAUCUCUAUCAAACACAAUCAUAGUACUUGUCACGGUGCUAGGUCGAACUCGGGCUUCAUCAUCAGUCACUGCAAAGAUCUUGGUCGAAAUCUGGGGCUGCGGUCUGGAAAAUGGCUGUUCUGGGGUAUUACUCCCCAUGCCUGAUCGUAUCACUAGGCCCUGUCUGGACUAUGAUCCUGAAGUCUCUCUUCGCGGUAUACUAAAACAAGUUAGAGGAGUAAAAGUAGUUACUGUACCCCGUCUCAACUGAGGACAAUCUCUCUAGAUAAGCCCCUAUUGGCCACAUUGAAAACACUUUACAGGCUAUCUACAUGACCCAACAUGAAAUCCUCCACAAUUAUGGCAUCUGUCCAAUCUUCUUGAAGUCCCCCUCUAUCUACUCAUCACUGGCCGAUCAAAUCUAGAAGAUCUCGACUGUGAUUGUUGAGAUAAAGGUCUAGUGGAUGCCACAGACGCUGAGGUAGUACUUCCUACAGUAGAUGUCGAAUCUCCGCCUCUCUUUGAAGACUGACCCGAGAAUGUAAACAGAUUCUUUCUUUUUGCAAACUCCUCUCGGAUCUGUCUAUUCUCAGUGGUGAGCUUCUCAGCCCGUAAGGCCAUCUACAUGACUUCCUUAUGUGGCUCCCUACCAGUCACUGUCAUCCGUUCCCUGAUCUCAUACGGAGCCCUUCCUCGAAAUAAUUGGCCUGAUCCUGCUCAGAUUUCACCAGAUCCGGCACAUAUAACAUCAACUUGUUAAAACGAGUCUCAUACUCCUCUACAGUUAGAUUUCCUUGUUUCAAGCUCAGAAAUUGUCAUGACCCGGAACCUCUCUAGGGCCCAUGACAGCCGUCGCGAUGUCCCAAUUGACACUCAUUACCCGAAAAGCCAAUCAGAACCCUGUAAGGCUUACAUAUGAGUUUCUUGCCUUUUUUGUGACCAAUCGUUUUUAAACAUUCCAUUUUAAAUAAUUUCCAGUAGUUUCCUACUCAAGUAAAUCAAAAGACAAAAAUAUUUUAAAAGGAUUUAUAGGUAAAUAUCACUAUUCAAAAUAUUGAUUAAAAUAUAGCAUUUUUUUAUAUAAAACAAUAUUUAUAGAAAUACAUGUAAGAAAUCUUUUGUAACGUGUAAGUAAAAUAAAUUCACACAUACAAAAAUUUACAAAGUUAUAAUGUACAAUAAUGGUCACAAUGACAAGUGGCCCAAAAUACACCCAGUGUUGGUGCUAGAAACCUACUGUCUGUGUGGUAGAGAUGUCAACUGGAAUCCUCGACAAAAUAGGGUUUCUACAAGCUACCACAGACCAGAAAUGUUUGGAAAGGAGGUGGGUGAGAUUUUGCAAUCCCAAUGAGUAAACAGACAUUAUCAUAAAUAUCUAAAGGCGAGUAACAGGGAGGCAAGUUUAAACAACAAAUCACAAACCAUUUCAUAAUGUUUUCAAUUUAUUUCUUAAACCAAAAAAUAUUUGUAAUUUACCAAAACAAUUGUUAAGGCUUAUGUCUUUUAUAAAAGCAAACAAUGCUCAAGCCAAAACUAAUCUUUGGGGAUACCUUGGCAGAGGCAUCUAACCGAGUCCGCCAAGGUUGUUAUAACAUUUACAUGUGAAACACAUUUUUAUUUUUAAAACAAGCCGUUCCUUGGCAUUAGCCGAGUUACACAUUCACGUGGGGGUUCGACGUGAAAUGAGCUCUAAUACUACCCCGGGAGUUACCCUCCUCGCCUCAACAACCGGAGUAACUAUAUAACCGAGUUUACCGUGCCCCUCUAAUAGGCAGUCUACGGAAACCCAUCACUGUAGUGACUAACCCACCAAUUUUAAUAAAAUUUCGACAGUAUAACGUGGCUUUUAUUUAUUUAUCCAGCCUGCAUAGUAAAAAUAGCUUACAUAAAUUUCCCAAUGCACUUACAAAAUAUAGCCACAUAUACUUAUAUCUCAUAAGCCAUUCAUAGGAAAAUAUAUAAUUUUCAAGACAGUUAAUAGCCUCCAAUUACUCAAUUUCAUAAUCAACACAAUAUAUAUUUUUUUGUCACAUUUAUUUCUAAAACAUCAAAAAUCCCGUUUUAAUCUCGUUUUCAUUUCAUAAAAUACAUAAAGAGCAUUUUCAAAAUAACUCUAGAUAAUUCACAAUAAUAAUAGGUUUACUCACCGUCUGUACAAACUAAUUGCUUUUUAGGUGCCCCGAUAACUACUCGUCGAGUACGAUUUCCUUGCCUUUACCGGAAGGCUCUCCUCCUAGACACAUUGUAAAAAUUUACUCAAUUCAUCACAUUAAUGCUAAAUCACUAUAUAUUUGACUUAAAUCCUAUACUAAUGCAUGGUAUGAAAUGCAAUAGCCAAAAAUGGCUUAAACACGGUAUUAACCUAUUUUUGGCACUUUACCCGAUAAAUUGCUAACAUUUUAGCUCUAAAUUGUCCCAUUCUCUCUCCACCCUUUCUAACCAUUAAUUAUCACCCAAUAUUCCUCUAAAAUCACCAAAAUGAGCUCACUCUCUUCCUUGAAAAAUUUAGCUAAAAAUGGGACAUUAACUCGGUAAAUUUUCUACUUUGUUUUUCUAUCACAUUUAACCAUUUUUUCAUCAUUUUCUCUUCAUUUCUCUUAGAAUAAAAAUCAGAUCAUCAUCAUUGUACAUCAAUGCAUAUUCAGCCAAGGGUGGGUAUUGUGAAAAUUUAAUGCUUUCUUACCCAAUUUAAUUUCUAAACACAUUUAACUAACUAAAACUAUCAAUUUAACUAAAAAUCAAAACCUAAAAAUUUCAAUUUCUCUCCCCUAGAAUUUCGUCCAGCCCUUGAUAUCACUUUUUGAUCUCUCUCCUCAAGCAUGCUAAAUGGAAAUAAAGGCAUAGGAAAGGUAGAAAUCAAGCUAAAAUCGAAAAAUCUUACCGUUAGACGCGUAAACGGUCGAAAACCGCGAAUUUCCCUUUGAAUUUUCUUGUUUCUCUUUGGUUUUUCUUUUUUUCUUCCUUUCCUCUCUAUUUUCUCUCUUGUUCUCCCUUAUGGCCGGCCAGCACUUAAAAUGGGGUUUAAAUGGGCUGACUUUUCAUUAAAAUAAUAUUAUAUCAUUUAAAAAAUGGCACGUGUCACUUUCCCAUUGGUCCAUUUUUAAAAUUUCAUCUAUUUGUUUCCAAAUUUUCACCAUACACUUGUCCCACAUAUCCAUAGCUUAGAUAAAAUUCUCAGACUUAUCCAAAGUCUCGGUGGAGUAAUUUUUAAAAUUUACACUUUUGCCCCCGUAAAAGUGAAAAAUUAUAUUUUUGCCCAAAAAAAUUGAAAAAUUGCCCAUAGGCAUAUUUUUCAUCCCUUAUGCUCAUACCAUUCUCCAAUUUGUCAAAUUUGAUCUAAAUUCUCUCAAAAUCUCAAAUUUUAUCCACGAGUGGUAAAAUUACGAUUUUACCCCUACACUCCAAAAAUCACCAAAAUUAAACUUUUUCACUUCCUAUCAUUAAAUUAUACUCCAAAUAGUUAAUCUUGGUCAAAAAUUUCACUCCAUUAUCAAAUUAUUAUCUUAAGUGGCAAAAUGACGAUUUUACCCCUAAACAUCAAAAAUUUCAAUUUUACCCCUAAUGAACCCUCGAACUCCGAACAAUCAUUUUUAGUCAUUCUUGGACUGUAAAAUAUUAAAUUUCAUCCUACGAUUCCUAUUUGAACUAGUUCGAGGUUAAAUCAACUCAAGUGUACUAUUAGGUACAAUACCGGGUUUCGUCUAUUCUUAUGACUUUCCUAGUGUGAUAACAUGCUACUCAGUGCAUGUAUGUCAUGACAUGUGUUUAUAGGGUCGGGUUUUACAGAAAUUCUCUUUUCUUUUCUUUCUGAUGAAAGUAAGUAAAAUACUGACCAUCAAAUUCUCUGAGGAAGUCAGACCAUGUCUGAGGAGUAGUGGAACGGGGCUUCACCGAAUUCCACCAAGUGCCAGCCCUCUUCUCUAGUAAUCUAGUAGCCACCAUUAGCUUCAUAUCGUCAUCUAAUCUCAUAUCAAAAAGAGUCUUCGAAACUUGAUUAACCCAAUCCUUAGUUGUGGUCGCAUCCAACUCACCAGUAAACGAGACGCAACCCAACUGUCUAGCUUCCUUCAAUUUCUUAGAAUGGAGACGUCCGGUGUUUAGGGUGGAAUAUGAGGUGGUGGUACUAGGGCUGUUACAGGGGAAAUAGUGGGUGGAAUUGGACCAACCUGAGCUUGACCCGUAAGAGCAGCGAGAAAAGUCACUAAUGCCUGAGCUGCCUCGAGUGUCAUGGCAGGUACGCUAGGAGUAGCAACAGGUGGUGGAGGAGGUACAGGAAUGUCCAUAGACUCAGCAGUAGGAACUACUCUAAAAGAAGAUGCAGCCGACUCCUCUUCUAUGGAAUCCGACCGACUCUGUCUGGGGUGACCUCUUCCCCUACCAAUAGAUCUAGUGAUAGGUGGUAGCUCACGUCGAGGAGGCAUAAUGAUCUACAAAAAGAACGAAAUUGGUUUAGACUACUUAAGACUCUAUAUGCAAUUACAUGCAACUAACUAAUCUUAAUUGGGCCACACUAACAUUGUAAAUUAUUUUAAAAUAACUUUAAAUCCAAGAACUUUAAAAAUCAAAAACUUCUUUUAAAACCACAAGCUUUUAAACCAAAAGCUUUGAUACCAAUUGAAUUGUCACGACCCGGAACCUCCCUCGGGCCUAAGACAACCGUCGAGACGUCCCGAUUGACACUCAUUACCCUGAAUGCCAACCGAAACCCCGCAAGGCUUACAUAUCAGUUUCUUUCCUUUCCUGUGAGCAAUCGUUGUUAAACAUUCAAUUUUAAACAAUUACUAGUCGUUUUCGGCUCAAAUAAAUCCAACGAUAAUUUAAUUUUUUUUCAAAGGAUUUAUAGACAAAUAUCACUAUUCAAAAUAUUGAUUAAAAUAUAGUAUUUUUAUAUAAAACAAUAUUUAUAGAAGCACGUGUAAGAAAUCUUUUGUAAUGUGUAAGUAAAAUAAAUUCAUACAUGCAAAAUUUUACUAAGUUAUAAUGUACAAUAAUGGUUACAAUGACAAGUGGCACAAAAUACACCCAAUGUUGGUGCUAGAAACCUACUGUCUGUGUGGUAGAGAUCUCAACUGGAUUCCUCGACAAAAUAGGGUAUCUACAAGCUACCACAGACCUGAAAUGUUUGGAAAAGAGGUGGGUGAGAUUUUUGCAAUCCCAAUGAGUAAACAGACAUUAUCAUAAAUAUCCAAAGGCGAGUAAAAUGGAGGCAAGUUUAAACAACAAAUUACGAACCAUUUCAUAAUGUUUUCAAUUUAUUUCUUAAACCAUAAAAUAUUUGUAAUUUACCAAAACAGCUGUUAAGGCUUAUCUCUUUUAUUAAAAACAAGGCUCAAGCCAAAACUAAUCCUCAGGGAUACCUUGGUCGAGGCAUCUAACCGAGUCCGCAAAGGUUGUUAUAACAUUUACAUAUGAAACACAUUUUUAUUUUUAAAACAAGCCGUUCUUUGGCGUUGGCCGAGUUACACAUUCACGCGGGGGUUCGAUGUGAAGUGAGCUCUAAUACUACCCCAAGAGUUACCCUCCUCGCCUCUGCAAUCGGAGUAACUAUAUAACCGGGUUUACCGUGCCCCUCUAAUAGACAGUCCAUGAAAACCCGUCACCGUAGUAACUAACCCACCAAUUUUAAUAAAAUUUUGACAGUAUAACGUGGCUUUUAUUUAUUUCUCCAGCCUGCAUAGUAAAAACAGCUUACAUAAAUUUCCCAAUACACUUACAAAAUAUAGCCACAUAUACUCAUAUCUCAUAAGCCAUUAAUAGGAAAAUAUAUAAUUUUCAAGACAGUUAACAGUUUCCAAUUACUCAAUUUCGUAAUCAACAGAAUAUAUCUUUAUUUGUCACAUUUAUUUCUAAAACAUCAAAAAUCUCGUUUUAAUCUCAUUUUCAUUUCAUUAAAUACAUAAAGAGCAUUUAAAAAUAAACUCUAGAUAAUUCACAAUAAUAAUAAGUUUACUCACCGUUUGUACAAAUUAAAAGCUUUCUAGGUGCCCCGAUAACUACUCGUCGGGUACGAUUUCCUUGCCUUUACCGGAAGGCUCUCCUCCUAGACACAUUGUAAAAAUUUACUCAAUUCAUCACAUUAAUGCUAAAUCACUAUAUAUUUAACUUAAAUCCUAUACUAAUGCAUGGUAUGAAAUGCAAUAGCCAAAAACGGCUUAAAGGCGGUAUUAACCUAUUUUUUGGCACUUUACUCGAUAAAUUGCUAACGCGCUUCAUUUUAGCUCUAAAUUAUCCCAUUCUCUCUCCAACAUUUCUAACCAUUAAUUAUCAGCCAAUAUUCCUCUAAAAUCACCAAAAUCAGCUCACUCUCUUCCUUGGAAAAUUCAGCCAAAAAUGGGACAUUAACUCGGUUAAUUUUCCACUUUGUUUUUCUAUCACAUUUAACCAUUUUUCAUUAUUUUCUCUUCAUUUCUCCUAGAAUAAAAAUCAGAUUAUCAUCAUUGUACCUCAUUGCAGAUUCGGCCAAGGGUGGGUAUUGUGAAAAUUUAAUGCUUUCUUGCCCAAUAUAAUUUCUAAACACAUUUAACUAACUAAAACUAUCAAUUUAACUAAAAAUCAAAACCUAAAAAUUUCAAUUUCUCCGCCCUUGAAAUUUGGCCAGCCCUUGAUGUCACUUUUAGAUCUCUCUCCUUAAGCAUGCUAAAUGGAAACAAAGGCAUAGGAAAGGUAGAAAUCAAGCUAAAGUAAAAAAAUCUUACCGUUCGACGCGUAAACGGGCGAAAAACGUGAAUUUCCCUUUGAAUUUUUCUAGUUUCCCUUUGUUUUCUUUCUUUUCUUCCUUUCCUCUCUAUUUCCUCUCUUGUUCUUCCUUAUGGCCGGCCAUCACUAAAAAUGGGGUUUAAAUGGGCUGACUUUUCAUUAAAAUAAUAUUAAACCAUUAAAAAAAUGCCAUGUGUCACUUUCCCAUUGGUCCGUUUUAAAAAUUUCAUCCAUUUGUUUUCAAAUUUUCACCAUACACUUGUCCCACAUAUCCAUAUCUUAGAUAAAAUUCUCAGGCUUAUCCAAAGGCUUGGUGGAGUAAUUUUUGAAAUUUACACUUUUGCCCCCGUAAAAGUCAAACAUUACAUUUUUGCCCCAAAAACUGAAAAAUUGCCCAUAGACAUAUUUUUCAUCCCUUAUACUCAUACCAUUCUCCAAUUUGUCAAAUGUGAUCUAAAUUCUCUCAAAAUUUCAAAUUUUAUCCACGGGUGGAAAAAUUACGAUUUUGCCCUUGAAUAUCAAAAUUUUCAAUUUUUUCCCAAAUGAACCCUCGAACUCCGAACAAUCAUUUUUAGUCAUUCCUUGACUAUAAAAUAUUAAAUUUCAUUCUACGAUUCCUAUUUGAACUAGUUCGAGGUUAAAUCAAUUCAAUUGUACCGUUAGGUAUAAUACCGAGUUUCGUCUAUUCUUAGGGACUUUCUUAGCAUAAUAACAUGCUACUCAGUGCAUGUAUGUUAUGACAUGUAUUUAUAGGGUCGGGUUUUCCAUUCUCAAUGGAACUCUAUUAAAGGAAGUGUAUGGAAAAGGAUAAGAUGAAUGAAUCAGGGUUGAGAAAUUUGGCAAGGUGCAAAUUAAUAAAAUGAUGAUUAGGUAUACAUAAGUAAGUAUAAUAUGUGAUCAAAAUCGAUAUAAUUGUGAUGAAGUUAUGGUUCAAAUUUAAUAAGGGUGAUAAAGGCAUGCUUAGUGACUCGAUAUAAGAGAUCAUGAUUGUGAAAGGUACUGUUGAUCUGACUCCAAAGGAUGAUAAUUGACAUAAAUGAAGUAUUUAAAUUGAACUGAAGGUGAACGAGGUGAAUAAAUUGAAUGUCCCUAUAGAAGGAGAAAAGGAAUAGGAUCAUAGAAGGAGAUUGAUAACGUAACAUCGAUGUGAAUUCGAGGACGAAUUUUAUUUAAGUGGGGGAGAUUGUGAUACCUCAUAUUUUGAAACAGUGAUUAAUAAAGUUGAUCGGAUGCAAAUUGAGGCAUAAUAAGGUAUUUUAGGUACCAAGGAGACAAUAAGGAGUUUUUAGAAUAAAAUAAUAUUAAAAUAUUAAUAUUUAACUGGAUGUUGAAAUCAAAAUCAGUUGUGAAGAAGGAUCAUAUGGUUGAUACAAAUGGGGGAGAAGAAAUACAAAUAAAUUUUUAGGGAUAAAUGACUUAAGUUCAAUUGCGUGAUUUUAUUAAAUCGAGUUAGCGCGGGUAAGUAAAUAUAUAAAAUAUUAUGGUGACACCGCGUUGAAGUAAAAUUUUGAUGUUUUGAUUGUUCGUGUGUAAAGGAAAGAGAUAGAUGAAAAUUAAAAUUUUAGACGUAUUAAAAGGAUCUACUUUGAAAUACAAAAUUAAAGGAUAUGUAGUGUAAUUAAUGAGAGAAAUAAAAUGAUCAUAUAGUAAAAUAAUAAUAGUAUAUAAAUAUAUAUAUAUAGAUAAACAUAGACCACCAUGGGCAGCCACCCAUAUGGUCAAUAAAAAGAGUCAAAAAACUCUUUAAUUUAAUUGAUGGAAGGGGGGGUCGACCAUGUGGAACAAAAUGAAGAAAGGAAGAAAAAUGUGAGGGGCCAGCCAAGUUGGAAUAAAAUGGAAAGAAUAAAAUAUAUAUAUAUAUGGGUGAAUAAGUAAAGUGAAGAAGACAAGAUGAAAGAGAGAAGUCGGUUAGUUAAGAGAAAAAAAAAGAAACAAGAAGAAGGUGUGAGCAAAGAGAACAAAAAGAAACAAGAGAAGGCCGAGUGGUGAGAAAAAAAGAAAGGUGAAAGAGCUGAGUUGAGGGGGCGGUUUUGCUACCAUUUAAGGAGGAAAAGAGAGCAAUUUUUCUAUCCAUUUAAGGGAUGAGAGAAGUAGCUUUAGCUGCUGAUUUUGAAGGCUGAAAAGUAUAGUUUUGCUGCUGGUUUUGGAGGCUGAGAAGUGCAGAUUUUUGUAGCUGAUUUUAAAGGUUGUAAGGUGCGAUUUUGGUUGUUAAUCUUUGUUGUUUUGGCUGCUGACUUUUGGAGGGAAAAUAGAGCAGCUUAGCUGCUGAAAAAUUAUGGUUGAAAAAGCUAAAAAGUGUGGCCGACGGUGAGAGGGAGAGAGAGAGAGAGAGGAAAUUGUGGACAGCUCUUGUACAAGAGAAAGGAAAAAGAAAGACAAGCAAGAAGCUGCUGGUCGGUUGGAGAGAAGAGGAAGAGAAAAAGAGAAAGAAAAGAAAAGAAAAGAAAAGAAGAGAAAAGAAAAGAAAAAUAUAUAUAUGCAUAUAAAUGGACAUGGCCCAAUAAGGAAAGAAUGGGCAUGACAUAAUUAAAAAUAAAUGGGAGAAGUCCAUGAAAAAGGACCCAAAAACAAUAAAAGAAGAAAAGUCCAAAAGAAAAGGAAGGUGGAGACUUGGGCCAACCAAGCCUAAUUGGGUAAAAUUUCUUUACUCUACUCCAUGGCUUAUUGUGAAAUUAGACUAUAUGGAGGCUAGCCCAUUUUAUUUAAUUAUACAUUGGUUAUUUGGUGAUAUGAAUUAAAUUUAAAUUACUUUAAUACAAUAUUUAAAUAUUUUAUUAGGAGGUGUCAUAGGACUAAAGUAAAGAAGAAAAUGUAAAAUUUACGAAUAGUGCUCGAAUGAAGUUAAGAAAUUUUAAAUGAUUCGUUGUGAAGAAUUAUUGAUGUGGGAGGAAUUUAGAUGCAUAAUUUAGUUGAGAGUGUUAAGUUGAAUGGUAAAAUAUUGAAAGAAAUGAGGAGAAAUAAUGUAGAUUUAUGAUAGAAUGAGAGAGAGAAGUGAAAUUGAUGCACUAAGUAUAUUGAAUUUAAAUUGUUGCUAGGAAAGUUUGUUGUGGGAGUGUGCCGAACGACGUAGGUGACUGGCAAAUAGUAAUAAUUAUACGAGUACAAAUCAAUAACGACGUUGAAAUCCCGCUAUUGUGAAGUGAGUAACCUUAUCAUCAUUUUAAUUAUUUAAAGUGGUCUUUUUAUUUGAUUUUGUGAAUUUUAUGGAAAAUGUGUUUAAAUGAAAUGAAUAUAUAAAUUGUCUUGAAAUUGAAUAAUGACUUUGAAAAUAGAGUAAUUGGAGACCACUUGAUGUGUUUUAAAUUUAUGGUUUUAAUUGAUUGGCUUAUGGCAAUAUUGGCAUGAAUGGUUGACUUGAUAAAUGUGCUAAAAAUGCAUGAAUUAUUGAUUUGCCUUGAGAGGCUGUAAAAUAAAAUAAUUUCCAUGUCAUGCUAUUACAAAUUUUAUUAUAUGUUGGGUUUAGCUUGCUACAAUGGGUGGGUUCUGUGGACCAGCCUAUUAGAUGGGCACGAAAUUCCGUCAUAUUCAUACCUUGUUCUGAGAGGCGCGUAGGGUAUCUCCUGAGGUAUGGUUAGAGUUCACGUCACGCCAAACCACCUUGUGAUGAUGAACUUUGCUAACGCCAAGGAACGACUGUGUUUUGAAAAUGAAAUAAAAAUAAGUUUUACGUGGAUACGAAGUUUUUAACAGCCUUGGCGAGCUCGAGUGUACGCCUCUGAUCAAGGUGUCAUCGAGUACUAUUUGAUGGCAUGAGCCGAAUGUUUAUGAAAGUCAUAAGCCUUGAUGAGAAGUUAAAAGAAAUACAACCGUUUGCAUGGGUUGGGAGGAAUUUUCAAAUUGUGAAAUACGUAAUGUGAUGGGAUAUUUUGAUUGUCUUCUUUUACUCGGCUUUAGUUGAUUUAAAUGAUGUUUGUUUACUGACUGAGAUUUUAUAAUCUUACCACCUUCUUUUUCAACCAUUUCAGGCUCAGAAUAGACUGUAGAUAGCUUGUAUCGUCGAGGACUACAAUUGGACUUGCAUCAUCGAAAAACUGUAGAUUCAUUUUUUAUGAUAUUUUUGGUCAUUCGUGGGCCAACGUGUUAUUGUAAUUAAAUUUUAUACUUUGGUUAUCUGUAUUAUAGUACAUAUGAAUUUAUUUAGCUUUUACGCUUCAAAAAUUAUUUACCGGUAACUCUAUAAAUAUUGUUUCAUAAGAAAAUAGAAUAUUUUUUUGAAUAUUUUUGUUAUAUUCAAAUUGAUAUAGUUUCGUUUAAAAUGAAUGUUUUAGACAUCUAAAUUUAUUUCUGAUUAUGAAAUAUGUGUUUUCCACUCGUAUACUACAUUUUUAACUGGUUUCGAGAUUAGUGUGGAAAAAUGACCAAAAUGCCCUUGUGAGAAAAAAAUUAUUUUUCUAUUGUUUUGAUUUGGAAAUAGUUUAUAACCUCUCAAAACAUGUUAUUUUACAACUGUUGAUCACAGGGGAGGUGAGAAAACUAAUAUUAAAGCCUUGCGAGGUUCCGAUCAGUAUUUCGGGCGAUGAAUGUCUAUCGGGACAUCGCGGCGGUUGUCACGGGCUCGAGGAGAGUACCGGGUCAUGAUAGUGAGUAUAAAUGUAGUGAAAGAAGAACUAUUUUCGUGGUCUUUGUACUGGAAGUUAAUAAACUAUUAGAGUUAUAAGACAAGGAAUAUGAUUAAUAAUGGGUCAUGAAAAUAGUAGGGUACCAUAAAUAAUAAGUAAUUAUGUGUAUGAUGAUGUAUAUAUUGUAAAUUCAUUACACCAUAUGGGAAAGAUGUCCUAAGGUGAGACUUGAAAUAUGUGGAUUUUUGGAUAUGCUCUAGAAAGGAGCUUUUGCAUCCUAAAUUCGAGAUAUCUUGAUCUUAUAAUUGUAAAGACGAGAUGUAAUAAUUAAGUGAAUUAUUCACUUUAUAAAUGUAAUUGGUUAAGAACCCCUUAUGGUUAGAGAGCAUGAGCAAAUUAUGAGUGGCAUGAAGAUGAAACUCACAAGUUGAAGAAUGGUCAUUGGUUUUGAUGCUAAGCUUUGUUGUUUGGAGUCUUAAGUGCAUUGGGGAGGUAUUAAGAUAAAGAUGAUGAAUGAAAUUGCAAAGUUUAUUUAUUGCCUUAUAUAUUGGCAUGUAAGAGAAAGAAAAGUUAGAGAGUUUUUGAGAUGGCUACAUAAAAAUAAAUUAACAUGUGGAGUGUUAAGAUGAAUAAUAUGUUGACUGAAGUCAAAUCUUAAGAAAUAAAGAAGACAAAAGAUUAAGCCUUGUUAAAGACUAAAGAGAAAACGAGUGAAAAGUUAGAUGAAUGUAUGAGAUAUUGAUAAGAGAUGUCAAUACCAAGUGAUGAAAGUGUGAAUAAAGAUUUCAAGGAUGAUAUAGCAAAUGAGUUUAUAUAGAAUAUUGUUAUGAGAAUAUACUAAUCUUGUCUUGACCUUGUUGAAAGGAAAGGAUUAGUGACAACACAAGUAAACUACGUGGUAUGCUAGAAACCCUUGGAGAUAAGUUGAAGCAUGAGUAAUUAAGCAUGCAUUUAAAUAUUUUGGUGAGUAAGUGCAUGCCUUUAUGGAAAUGAUAUACUUGGAGUAUGAAAGAGCAAAUAAGUGAUUAAGUAUUUCAAGAAUGUUUAAACACCUCUGAGAAAGAAUUAUAAAUUAUACAAGAUGAGUAUAAGAUGUGUGAUUUUGAAACUUGCUAAGGAGCCAAACGGCUAAGUCAUGAGUUAAGUGAACACAUACUGUGAGACAUAAGUUUAAGAUAGGUAUCCCCAAGGAAAUACUCAAGAUAAGUUCUGCAAUGGAUUUCGUGAAAGCAAACAUUAAGUUAUAUGAUCAUAAAAAGGAAGCCAUAAGCUGAGAGUGAUAUUUGUAUUGACAUUGAAAAAUACUUGAAGAGAAUCUAGUUUCAAGUCUUGUAAUUUCAAGUGCAAUUUGUAAAUUGGUUAAGAAAGAAUGAUGUUAUGUUCAUAUGAAAGAGUGGAACAAAAGAUGAUUGAAGUUAACCUUGAUAAUGGAGUCAGAUAAUGAAACUUUCCUAAUAUAUUAUGGAAAUUGAAAUUCGAAAUGCUUGAGGCAUACAUGAUUCAAAUGAGUCUGAGUUUUAAGUGACAAAUCAAUAUCGGAAUGCAAGAAGGAUACAAAGUAAUGUAGAGGCAUGAAGGAUAAUCGAGGAAAAAGGAUGACUCUUAGGAAUUGUGGUAUUGCAUAAGAUGCAAUGAUCAAGUUAAGAUAAAUCUUUGAGGCAUUAAUGGGAUUAUCAAGCAUACACGCAUAAUAGAUUAUAAUUCAAUGGAGAUGACAUUGUGAUGCAAUGAUAUAUAGUGUAAGGAAACUUAAGCCUAUAAUUGGAAAUAAUAAGAAGAGAGUAUAAGUAUGUAAAUGAUGUGGAACUGUGCACAGGCAUGAUGAUAAUUUGUAUGAAUUAUGAAGAUUAUUCUAUUGAAUCUUGGUUAUGGAUGGGAAUGAACAAAGAGAAAUUAGUUUGAAGGCAUUUGAAAACAGGGACUCGUAUACAUAAUGAGGAAUAUGGACAUUUGAAUGUGCGUGUAUACGUAUGUGUGGAGUUAAUGAUCUACCCAAAUAAAAUGAAGAAUGGUUUUAGUGGUUCGAGAUUUGAACUCAAUCUAUUUGAUGAGUUGUAUAGAUAAUGUAACGAUAAAGAAUCUUAUUAGAAGUUGAUUUAUGGCGACCUAAGGAAUUUUGGGGAAAUAGUUAAGGGAAUGUAAUCCAUAGUGCGAUUAAGCCAUUUGAGAUGGAUUAAUAGGAUUAAGAAGAUUGAAAUUUCCUAAAUACAAGGUAAACAUGAAGUAUGUGGAAAUAAUUGAAGCCAUCAAUCUUCCCUACACUGAGGAUAUGUACAGGAAUGAGUAUGGCAUGUUAAUGAUGUCGUAAACUACACAAUAGUGUAUGAGAAUAGGAUGAAUGAAUGAAAGUUAAGAAGUUUGAUAUGGAAUGAAGUAAUAAGAUAGUGAUUGGUAUACCUAAAUAAGUAUAAAAUGCAAUCAAAAUUGGUUUGAUUGAGAUGGAGUUAUGGUUAAAGUUUAAUGAUAGUGAUAGAAGCAUGCUUGGUGUCUCGAUAUAAGAGAUCAUAAUUGUAAAGGUUACUGUUGAUAUGAUUUUAAAAGAUAAUAAUAGACAUAAGUGAAGUACUCGAGUUGAAUUGGAGGUAAAUGAGGUGAACAAAUCGAAAUUCCCUAUAAAGGGGAGGACAUAAGAAGUCGAGCAUUAGAUGAGAAAACAAUACCCCUACCUUUUCUCUAAGUUCAGUAAUUAAAAUUUUGAGGUCAAAUUUUUAUUUUAAGGGUGGUAGUACUGUCAGGCCCGGUUCUACAAUAUGUUUAUUAAGCCAAUCCUACAUAAGAAUGCAUGUUUACUUACUUGGGUACUUCGAAAAUCGUUAAAGGACGGCAAUGUACCAAAUGGUACAAUUAAGUUGAAUUAAGCCUCGAACUAGACCAAAUAGAGAUUUUAAGAUGAAAUUGAGAAUUUUAAAACCCUAGAAUGACUAAAAAUGGUGAUUCAGAGUUCGAGGACCGAUUUGAAGUCAAAUUGGAAUUUUCAUGACCUAAGGGCAAAAUGGUCAUUUUUCCACUCGAGGUUAAAAUGUGAGUGUUGGAUGAAAUUUUUGACUAAGAUUGAUCAUUUGGAGUAUAAUUUGCGUUUGAGAAGUGAAGAAUCUUAAUGUCGACAUUUUUUCGAGCAUAGGGGUAAAAUAGUUGUUUUGUCGCCCAAAGGCAAAAUCAAAAUUUUACACCACCCAACACUUGUCCAGCACAUAGAUUUUACCCAAUAUUAUCAUGGAUAAUUGAGAAAAUUUAAGUGGUGGAGAGAAAUUGCUUAAUGGGUAAGUAUGACACAUGGACCAAUGGAAUGGUGACACAUGGUAAAUUUUUAUCCAUUUAAUAUUUUCCUUUAUAAAGCCAAUUUGAACUCUUCCACAUUCAUUCUUAUGGCCAGCCAAAGCAAGAACAAAGGAAAAAAAGAAAGAACAAAAGCCUUAGAGUGAAAAUUCAAGAGAAAAUUGGUGGAUUUCAAGUAAUCAAGCAAUCAAAGGUAAAAUUUUUUGAUUUUGACUUGUGAUCUACCUUUCCCAUACAUUCUUUUGCAUUUUCCAUGGUUGAAUCACAUGAUUUCAUGAUGGGUCUCUUGCUGGCUGAACACUUAGAGAGAGAUUUUGAUGGUUGUUUUGGUUAGAUUUUAAGAUAUUCUAGUGUUUUUAGUUAGUUAGUGAUGUGUAGCAUGAAAAGCCAACAAGAAAAAUUCACUUCCUCCUAUCACCCAUCAUUGGCCGAAUCUUCCAUGUAGAGUGUGGAUGGUGGAUUUGAUUUUGUUUCAAGUGAAUUGGUUAGGAAAUGAUGAAUUACGGUGGGAAAAUCAAGUAGGAAAAAUCAUAGUAUUGAUGCACGCACCAUGGCCGAAAUUCCCAAGAGAAAAUGUGAAGAUGAUUUUGCUAAAUUUUAUGCUAUUUGACUUGUGCUUAAUGGUUUGAAGAAUUGGAAGAAAAAUGGAGUCAAUUAGAGUUAAAUUGGACAUAUUGGCCAAUUAAUCGGAUGAUAGAUCGAAUUAGGCUGAUACCAUUUUAUUUAGGUACAUAAUUGAAUUUAUAUUGAACACUGUAUUUAGAUAGUUACCCGAGUAUUUCACAUCCCAUUGCAUUAGUAUAAAGCCUAAAUUGGUUUGAUAACAAUUUAGUACAAAUGCAGUAAAUGGCUUAUUAUGCAUUAUGUCUAGGUGGUGAGCAUUUUGGUAAAAGUAAAGAGAUAGUACCUGAGGAUCAAGAAUUAGAGUACUCAGCAUUUUAAUUCGUUUUUGUGAUUUUAUGGAAAAUGAGUUUUAAUGGUAAAUCUUUAUGUUUUAUAAGCAAAAUGUGAUUAAAUGAAAUGAUUUUAUAAAAUUAUCUUGAAAUUGAAAGAUGGUUUUGAAAAUGGAGUAAUUGGAGAGUAAUUGAUGUGUUAUAAAUCAUGGUUUGAAUUAAAUGGCUUAUGAUAAUAUUGGCAUGAAUGGUUGGAUUGGUAAAUGUGCUGAAAAUGUAUGAACUGUUGAUUUGCCUUGAAAGGCUAUAAAAUAAAAUAAUUGCCAUAUCAUGCUAUCGCAAAAUUUAUUGUAUGGUGGGUUUAGCUUGCUGCGAUGGGCAAGUUCUGUGGACCAACCUUUUUGAGGGGUAUGAAAUCCUGUUAUAUUCUUACCUCAAUCGGAGAGGCGCGUAGGGUAACUCUCGAGGUACAACUUUAGAGUUCACUUCACGUCAAACCACCACGUGAGGGUGAACUCAGCCAACUCCAAGGAACGACUAUGUUUUCAAAACAAAAAUAUGAUUUAUGCGUACAUGACUUUUUAACAGCCUUGGCAAACUCGGUUGGGAUAGCCCUAGGCCAAGGUAUCCCUAACAAUUGAGUAUGAGAACGAUUUUGGCACGAGUCAAGCUUUUCAAGAAACCAUAAGCCUUGUUGUUUAUUUGGGUGAAAUGAAUCUAUUUUAUCUUAUUAAAAUGAGUUCAAAAUGCUGUGAAUCAUUUUUAUGUUAAAUUAUUUUAUCUGUCUCAUUUACUCAGCUUUAGAUAUUUUAGAUGGUAUUUGUUUACUCAUUGGGAUUAUAUAAUCUCAUCACCCUCCUUUCCACCCAUUUCAGGCUCAGGAUAGUUGGUAAUUAGCUCAUUUUGUUGAGGGCUACAGUUGGACUUGCAUUCUAAAAAACUGCAGGUUUACCGCUUUUGAUAUUUUUGGUCGUUCGUGGGCCCACG